rnacentral:rRNA from 1 species
UUGACAUCGCUUGAUCGCUCUAGAGAUAGAGCUUUCCCUUCGGGACAAGUAGACAGGUGGUGCAUGGUUGUCGUCAGCUCGUGUCGUGAGAUGUUGGGUUAAGUCCCGCAACGAGCGCAACCCUUAUUGUCAGUUGCCAGCAUUCAGUUGGGCACUCUGGCGAGACUGCCGUUGACAAAACGGAGGAAGGUGGGACGACGUCAAAUCAUCAUGCCCCUUAUGUCCUGGGCUACACACGUACUACAAUGGCAAUAACAGAGGGCAGCCAAACCGCGAGGUUGAGCGAAUCCCAAAAUAUUGUCUCAGUUCAGAUUGCAGGCUGCAACUCGCCUGCAUGAAGUCGGAAUUGCUAGUAAUGGCAGGUCAGCAUACUGCCGUGAAUACGUUCCCGGGCCUU